UUUUCUUUUUUUUUAAUCAUCUUCUCAGGGCUUCCUUGGUGGCUCAGAUGUGAAAGAAUCCACCUGCAAUGAAGGAGACCUGAGUUCUAUCCCUGGUUGGGAAGAUCUCCUGGAGGAGGGCAUGGCAACCCACUCCAGUAUUCUUGUCUGGAGAAUCCUGAUGGACAGAGGAGCCUGGUGGGCUACAGUCCAUGGGGUCACAGAGUCAGACAUGACUGAGCAACUCAACACAGCACAGCACAAUCUUUCUUAAGUACAGUUUUUCCUGAAAUAUUGCUUAUAAAUCACAAUAUUACUUCGGUAUUUCCUUUUGCAUGUGGAAUACCAAGUGGAGAGAGGUGAUUGUUGGGCAGGUGAUCUGCGUCUGCAACUUGGAAAAACAUUUCUUGGAAUGUUUACUGCUUUGUCCCUGCUCAGAAGAUUCAAACCGAAUGAAGCUCCUCUCCGUUCACCAUGAAAGGAGGCUCUGCCAGUUAUUGGCACCCUUAUGCAGCGGGGACGCUCCGUUCUCUCCCUGUGCAGGUGCGACUCUUGCUUGUGCUGGCCGCGGCAGUAGAUUUGUUUGGAUUAUAUGGAUUGUGCAUAGUAGAUCUGUUAGACCAAUU
rnacentral:lncRNA from 1 species